rnacentral:rRNA from 1 species
AUUGUGCCAGCGGCCGCGGUAAUACGGAGGAUCCAAGCGUUAUCCGGAUUUAUUGGGUUUAAAGGGUGCGCAGGCGGAUCAAUAAGUCAGGGGUGAAAAAUUUCAGCUUAACUGGAAUCGUGCCUUUGAUACUGUUGGACUAGAGUAUAAUUGACGUGACUGGAAUGUGAUGUGUAGCGGUGAAAUGCUUAGAUAUGUCACAGAACGCCAAUCGUGAAGACAGGUCACGAAAUUAUUACUGACGCUCAUGCACGAAAGCGUGGGGAUCAAACAGGAUUAGAUACCCUGGUAGUCCACGCUGUAAACGAUGAUUACUCGUUGUUGGGCAGUGAUGCUCAGUGGCUAAGCGAAAGCGAUAAGUAAUCCACCUGGGGAGUACGAUCGCAAGGUUGAAACUCAAAGGAAUUGACGGGGGCCCGCACAAGCGGAGGAGCAUGUGGUUUAAUUCGAUGAUACGCGAGGAACCUUACCCGGGCUUGAACGUAAGACGAAUAUAUAAGAGAUUAUAUAGCCUUCGGGCGUCUUGCGAGGUGCUGCAUGGUUGUCGUCAGCUCGUGCCGUGAGGUGUUAGGUUAAGUCCUGCAACGAGCGCAACCCUUACACUUAGUUGCCAGCACGUAAUGGUGGGGACUCUAAGUGAACUGCCUACGCAAGUAGAGAGGAAGGUGGGGAUGACGUCAAAUCAGCACGGCCCUUAUGUCCGGGGCUACACACGUGCUACAAUGGUAUGUACAGAGGGCAGCCACCUGGCGACAGGGAGCUAAUCCUCAAAGCAUAUCUCAGUUCGGAUUGGAGUCUGUAACUCGACUCUAUGAAGUUGGAUUCGCUAGUAAUCGCGCAUCAGCCAUGGCGCGGUGAAUACGUUCCCGGGCCUUGUACACACCGCCCGUCAAGCCAUGGAAGCCUGUGGUACCUAAAGUCCGUGCCCGCAAGGAGCGGCCUACGGUAAACCGGUAACUGGGGCUAAGUCGUAACAAGGUAACCAAU